ACCUAAAAUCUAGCCCUUAUUCUCUUAUGCGCCCCUAUACCCGCCACCUCUAAAUAAAACAUUCUAUAAAUCUAGUAAAGGCGAUAGAAAAAUUUAUUCGAGCUAUACUGCCAGUACCGCAAGGGAAAGAUGAAAUAAAAAUGAAACAAACAAUUAAGCACAGAAAAGUAAAGCUUCAACCUUGUACCUUUUGUAUUAUGGUUUAACUAGUCCUUAUCAAGCAAAACGACUUUAAGUUUGACCUCCCGAAACUAGGCGAGCUACUUCAAGGCAGCCUGAUGGGCCAACCCGUCUCUGUUGCAAAAGAGUGGGAAGACCUUCAAGUAGAGGUGACAGACCAACCGAGCCUAGAAAUAGCUGGUUACCCAGUAAAAGAAUUUUAGUUCAUCCUAAAGUUAAACAAUGCCUAAAAACAAGCCCUCUUACUUUAGAGUUAUUCAAAUAAGGUACAGCUUAUUUGAAACAGGAUACAACCUAAAAUAACGGGUUAUCUAACAGCAAAAUAGCAAAGUGGGCCCAAAAGCAGCCACCUUUAAAAUAGCGUCAAAGCUUAACUACUCUAUGCCUCAAUUAAUCAAUUUAGUAAUAACCCUUAAUUAACACCGGGUGCUUCUAUAUUAAUAUAGAAAUCACUAUGUUAAAACUAGUAACAAGAAGAAACCCUUCUCUUUAAAUGUAAGCGUAAGCCAGUAAGGAUAAGCCACUGUCAAUUAACACGUAUGACACUAAAUUAGCAACAUCACAAGAAAACCCUACUAAUAUAAGUGUUAACCUAACACAAGAGCAUUUUAAGAAAGAUUUUUAAAAAAGGAAGGAACUCAGCAAACAUCAACCUCGCCUGUUUACCAAAAACAUCGCCUCUUGAAUAUAUAAGAGGUCCAGCCUGCCCAGUGACCCAGUUCAACGGCCGCGGUAUCCUAACCGUGCGAAGGUAGCGUAAUCACUUGUUCUUUAAAUGAGGACUAGUAUGAACGGCAUUACGAAGGUCGUACUGUCUCCCCUUUUUAAUCAGUGAAACUAAUCUUCCCGUGAAGAAGCGGGAAUACUACAAUAAGACGAGAAGACCCUAUGGAGCUUUAAACCUUCUAACACUUGCUGCCACUCUAUCACUCUCAGUAGCCUCACAAAAAACACAGCACUAUGAUUACAAGUUUUCGAUUGGGGUGAUCACGGAGUAAAAAUUAACCUCCACGCCAGAUGGGCCCAACCCCUGAACUACAAGCCACAACUUAAAGUACUAAAAAAUUAUUGUCUCUUGACCCAAUGCUUUGAUCAACGAACCAAGUUACCCUAGGGAUAACAGCGCAAUCCACUUCAAGAGCCCCUAUCGACAAGUGGGUUUACGACCUCGAUGUUGGAUCAGGGUAUCCAAGUGGUGCAGCCGCUACUAACGGUUCGUUUGUUCAACGAUUAAAACCCU
rnacentral:rRNA from 1 species